GAUGAACGCUAGCGGCAGGCCUAACACAUGCAAGUCGAGGGAGAAGCCCUUUCGGGGGCAGAAACCGGCGCACGGGUGCGUAACGCGUAUGCAACCUACCUUUCACAGGGGGAUAGCCCGAAGAAAUUUGGAUUAAUACCCCAUAAUAUUAUUGGAUGACAUCAUUUGAUAAUUAAAACUGCGGUGGUGAAAGAUGGGCAUGCGUCCUAUUAGCUAGUUGGAGUGGUAACGGCACCCCAAGGCUACGAUAGGUAGGGGUCCUGAGAGGGAGAUCCCCCACACUGGUACUGAGACAGGGACCAGACUCCUACGGGAGGCAGCAGUGAGGAAUAUUGGUCAAUGGUCGGAAGACUGAACCAGCCAUGCCGCGUGCAGGAAGAAUGCCUUAUGGGUUGUAAACUGCUUUUAUAUGGGAAGAAUAAGGCGUACGUGUACGUUGAUGACGGUACCAUAUGAAUAAGCAUCGGCUAACUCCGUG
rnacentral:rRNA from 1 species